rnacentral:rRNA from 1 species
CCGGCGCACGGGUGAGUAACACGUAUGCAACCUGCCUGCCACAGCCGGAUAAUCGGGAGAAAUUCCGUCUAAUACGGCAUAAUGCAUCGACGGGACAUCCUGUUGGUGCCAAAGGUUGAUUCCGGUGGCGGAUGGGCAUGCGUCGCAUUAGUUAGUAGGCGGGGUAACGGCCCACCUAACCGACGAUGCGUAGGGGUUCUGAGAGGAAGGUCCCCCACACUGGUACUGAGACACGGACCAGACUCCUACGGGAGGCAGCAG